UUUCCUACGGGAGGCAGCAGUGGGGAAUAUUGGGCAAUGGGCGCAAGCCUGACCCAGCAACGCCGCGUGAGGGAAGACGGUCCUAUGGAUUGCAAACCUCUUUAGGCGGGGAGCAAUGCCGGGCACGCGUGCCCGGAGGGAGAGUACCCGCAGAAUAAGCAUCGGCUAACUCCGUGCCAGCAGCCGCGGUAAUACGGAGGAUGCGAGCGUUAUCCGGAUUUAUUGGGUUUAAAGGGUGCGUAGGCGGUCUGUUAAGUCAGCGGUAAAAUUGCGGGGCUCAACCCCGUCGAGCCGUUGAAACUGGC
rnacentral:rRNA from 1 species